UUUUAUGAGAGUUUGAUCCUGGCUCAGGACGAACGCUGGCGGCGUGCCUAAUACAUGCAAGUCGAACGCUUCUUUUUCCACCGGAGCUUGCUCCACCGGAAAAAGAGGAGUGGCGAACGGGUGAGUAACACGUGGGUAACCUGCCCAUCAGAAGGGGAUAACACUUGGAAACAGGUGCUAAUACCGUAUAACAAUCGAAACCGCAUGGUUUUGAUUUGAAAGGCGCUUUCGGGUGUCGCUGAUGGAUGGACCCGCGGUGCAUUAGCUAGUUGGUGAGGUAACGGC
rnacentral:rRNA from 1 species